GAUGAACGCUGGCGGCGUGCCUAAUACAUGCAAGUCGAGCGAACAGAUAAGGAGCUUGCUCCUUUGACGUUAGCGGCGGACGGGUGAGUAACACGUGGGUAACCUACCUAUAAGACUGGAAUAACUUCGGGAAACCGGGGCUAAUGCCGGAUAAUAUUUAGAACCGCAUGGUUCUAAAGUGAAAGAUGGUUUUGCUAUCACUUAUAGAUGGACCCGCGCCGUAUUAGCUAGUUGGUAAGGUAACGGCUUACCAAGGCAACGAUACGUAGCCGACCUGAGAGGGUGAUCGGCCACACUGGAACUGAGACACGGUCCAGACUCCUACGGGAGGCAGCAGUAGGGAAUCUUCCGCAAUGGGCGAAAGCCUGACGGAGCAACGCCGCGUGAGUGAUGAAGGUCUUCGGAUCGUAAAACUCUGUUAUUAGGGAAGAACAAAUGUGUAAGUAACUGUGCACGUCUUGACGGUACCUAAUCAGAAAGCCACGGCUAACUACGUG
rnacentral:rRNA from 1 species